CCGUGCUCCCUGGAGGGGGCGUGUCCUUUCGCCGCCAGCUGGGUCCCGGAGGGUCUGCGUCCGCAAGCGUCUGGGAUCGCGUGGCUGUGAGAAGGGGAGGUUCGCGCCGUGCGGCGGGCUCCACCUACCUGCAGACAGAUGGAGGGUCACUUUGUUCGGAGGAAACUCAGGCACCCGAGGGAGGAGAGGGAGGAUGUGAAACGGAACAACCCGUUUCUGUGCGGUUGGCUUUGUUUAUUUGCCUCCUCACCAGAGGCCUCCUACCCCUGACGCCACCGACCCCGAGAGGAGGCGAUCAGCUGCUAUGGCCGCUGCGGCCAGACGGGGUCGCCCGCCCCGUUCCGCAAGGCAGGCCCUGCGGCGCACCACGGCCUGCGCUUGCCCGACCUGGUUGCAGGCAUUCCUGUUUCACGGGAAACAUUCUCACCACUGCAGAAGGGAAACCUAGCUUUGGGUUUUGACGGUAGAAGCACGUAUAUGUGUUUUAAAGGCCACAAACACGGCAGUGACUUGUUUAUUCAUUCAACAAAUUUGUCGAGUGCCUACUGCAUGCCGGGUGAGCUGGAGGCUUAGACUACAGCCCUGAUCAGCCAAGACACCUUGCCUGUCCUCAUGGAGCUUUCGGGGCACCAUGUACUCACCUCUAAAAUAUACACCGCCUGUGAAUUUGCCAUAUUUUCUGGAUUGUAAAAUGCCCUGGAUGGUGAGUCUGUUGAAUAGUUUUUCAGCGGUGGAGGAAGAAACACUACGUUAAAUUCAUAUAAUCGCCAUAUAUGUGUGUGUGUCGGAGGGAAGAGGCCCUGGUCAAAAUCAAAGAAAAUUAAUCACGACUGUAUCCCCAACAGCUGGCAGCAAAAGGAACACAGCUCGCAAAGAGAUACUCUCUUCAUGUGGCCUGAAAUAAUACUAACAUGAAGAUGGAGAUGGACCCUCAUGACAAAAAUGAAGGUGAACAUGAUGUGGAAAAUAUGAAGAUGGAGUCUAUAAGCUAAGGAUCCUGGAGCAGAAUGAUAGGAGGAGACUGGGUCAUUCAGGACAUCUUAAAGCUGCUGCAGCAGUCCUAGAGUGGCUACCCCUGGACUUAGGAAGUCUGAAAAAUAAACCCCAAUUUGGUUAAA